rnacentral:sRNA from 10 species
UGAUGCAAGUGUCAAAAGUAUAAAUUGCGUUUGUGCUUGCACAAUAAGNCAUUUAUACUUAUUGACACGCCGAACAACGAGAACGGAAAUAAAUGGUGUGAACACACCAUUUUAUGGGGAGUCGAGGGUGUCGAGGGAUGUGAAAUUGCGUNAGCAUGAAGCAAUCUGGAUGCAUCA